GACGAACGCUGGCGGCGUGCUUAACACAUGCAAGUCGAACGGAAAGGCCCUGCUUUUGUGGGGUGCUCGAGUGGCGAACGGGUGAGUAACACGUGAGUAACCUGCCCUUGACUUUGGGAUAACUUCAGGAAACUGGGGCUAAUACCGGAUAGGAGCUCCUGCUGCAUGGUGGGGGUUGGAAAGUUUCGGCGGUUGGGGAUGGACUCGCGGCUUAUCAGCUUGUUGGUGGGGUAGUGGCUUACCAAGGCUUUGACGGGUAGCCGGCCUGAGAGGGUGACCGGCCACAUUGGGCCUGCGAUACGGCCCAGACUCCUACGGGAGGCAGCGGUGGGGAAUAUUGCACAAUGGGCGGAAGCCUGAGGCAGCAACGCCGCGUGCGGGAUGACGGCCUUCGGGUUGUAAACCGCUUUCGCCUGUGACGAAGCGUGAGUGACGGUAAUGGGUAAAGAAGCACCGGCUAACUACGUG
rnacentral:rRNA from 1 species